rnacentral:lncRNA from 1 species
UAAAGGCUCUACAAUCAUUUGUGAGUGGACUGCCUUUAAAACUUAUUUUGGGAAUAUAAUGUAUUUGACAAAUGCUUGAAUGAUUUUAUAUGAUUUUUUUAUGAAAUGAAUGUCUUGGGAACAAGCUCUUGAGAAAUGAUUUAUGUUAUCAUAUGUGGUUAUUAUGGAUUUCUAUGUGGCUGCAUUAUGUUGAUAUACAUAUAUGCUUGAAUAUAAUGUUGUGUAAUUAUAUUGACUAGGCUAUAUGCGAGUAGGGAGUGCGCAUAAGUCGAGGAUGACCCGGUUAUGUGCGAGUAGGGAGUACGCAUAACCCGGUAAUGACCCAGCCAUGUGCGAGUAGGGAGUGCGCAUGAGCUGGUGAUGAUGAUGAUGGGAUGGUGUGAUGAUGAUGAUGGGUAUAUGCGUGUAUAUAUAUAUACAUAUGUAAAUAUGUGUGUUAUAGGAAAUUGAUGGAUAAUGGUUUAUGGUUGUAAUGCAUGUGAAACUUGACAUGUUAAACCUUGAGAAAUUGUUAUGUGUUUCAUAUUGGUUUUGAAAAUUUCAAGUAGGGUGGUUUUCUUUGGGAGAAAGGGAAAUCUUCAUUUGAUGCCGUGUAUUUCACUGCAGCGAGAAACUCUAGGGUUUUGAAAAGGCAGGUUGGCUGGAAACUCGCUGCAGUGAGGAUGCAUUUUCGCUGCAACGAGAAUGACACUGUAGCUUCUCAUUGCAGUGAAAUACAUUCUCGCUGCAGUGAGAAACUUUCUGUUUCUGGGUUGCAAUUUCACUGCAGCGAGAUUGAAUUUUGCUGCAGCGAGAAACAUUCUGUUUCUGGGUUACAAUUUCGCUGCAACGAGAUUGAAUCUCGCUGCAGCGAAAAACUUUCUAUUUUGGUCUCCUAUCUUGUUCAAUUGCUGCCCUAUCUUUUACUUCUUUACUACCAUAUUGGAGCAUGGACUUCCAACAUUAAGGAUUAAAUGAGUUAAGUUUAAAAUGAUGAGGUUUAGUGAGAAAUCCUCAGCCAGUUGAGAAAGCCUCGUUCGGUUAAUAACUAAAUCCCAACGUCACUGCAAAGAAAAUUCAUUCUCGCUGCAACGAAGAUUCGUUGUCAUGUUUGAUUUACUUGUGUAAUAUUGAAGCUUUUAUUCUUCAAAUGGUUCGUUAUGUAUGGGUUAAUGAUUUAAAGGCUUGAUGAGGGGUUUUUAAUAAGAAUAGAAACAAAUUGCAUUGUUUUGAAAAAUAAUGCAUCAUGAUUUCAUUAAAGAUUCCUUAUGGUAUGCUUGUUCCCUUCCUUGUUCACUCACUGGGUUUAUACUCACUAUUUUCAAAUUCAUGUUUUCAGAACACGAGGCGGCCGGUAACUAGGACGAGGUGUCCUUGUAAACUUGUGUCUAUCUUUUGGUAAGUGUCUCGGCAUUUAGUAGCUAUACAUUCAUCCGAGUCCCUCCGCUAGAAGUCGAGUGUUAUUUUGUUUUGUAUAGACAAACUUAAUGUAAAUUAUUAGAAUACAUGUUGUAGACAUUAUAUGUAAAUUUUUAAGUAGUAAU